GUAAUAUAAACACGAACACGGGAAAAAACAGAAGAGAAGAACGGAAAGGAAAGAUCGAUCCCCAAAAUCAAGUGGCAGUAAGCAAUUAGGGUUUUCGAGAGAUCUUUCUCUCUUCAUUUUCAAAGACGUUUCAGGUGAUUUUUCUUUUCCUCUAGUAAUCUGUUCUCAUCUCUUUGAUCUUCUUCUUCUUCGAUGACUGAUACAAUCUAAUCUUGAAUCGGGUGGUUUAUUAACGUAGUUGGGUGGCUGGCUGGCUGCACCGCCGUAAGCUUUUUGUGGCCACAAUUGAAAUUUAUUUGCAUUUUCUGUUCAUUGACGUGCUAGGGUUUAUUUCCAAGUGUUCCAUUUGAUUUUAUUCUUAAUUGACUGGCUAGACCCCAAGGGGAAGAAAGAACUCGGCGUAUUAUAUUAGAAGCAGGGGGAUCGGUUAUGCUUAUUGAUGUUUCAUUGACUGAGCAAUAAAAUAAGUAAGCGAGCGAGUAAUUAUGGAGGACGUGAAACAUAAAUCUAGAAAAGAUGAUUCGGAACGGAAGGAGGACAAAGAGGAUUCAAAGAGGAGUCAUAGAGACAGGGACAGGGAUAGGGACAGGGACAGGGACAGGAAUGGAGAGAGGCAUCGAGACAGAGAGAAGAGAGAACGUGAAAGCAUCAGGCGUUCUGAGAGAGACAAGAGUAGUGAUUCUGAUGAAAAGGAAAGGGAGAAAGAGAAGCAUAAAGACAGGGAUAGAGACAGGGAUAAGGAUAGAGCAGCAAGGAGUAGGGAUGGUGAUAAAGAGAGAGCUAAGGACAGGAACAGAGAUAGAGACAAGGACAGAGAGGAGAAGAAGGAUAGGGACAAGGACAGAGAGGAGAAGAGGGAUAGGGACAAGGACAGAGAGGAGAAGAGGGAGAGGGCAAAGGAGAAAGAGAAAGAUAGGGAAAGGGAAAGGGAAAGGGAAAGGGAGAAGAGGGAACGUGAAAGGGAGAGAGAUAGAGAAAGGGAGAGGAAGGAGCGUGACAGAGAAGAAAGGGAGAGGGAGAAGAGGGAGAGAGAAGAAAGGGAGAGGGAGAAGAGGGAGAGAGAAAGGGAGAGGAGGACUAGGGAAAGGGAAAAGUGUAGGGAAUUGAGCAGUGACAGUGAUGAUGAUUCCAAGGAUCGUGAUAAGAAGCGGCGAAGAAGAGAUGAUGAUGACUACAAGGAGAGAGUGCGCGAACAGAGCAUUAGCAGGUCAAACAGGCACAGGGAUAACAGUGAAGAGAUCCCGAGGAAAAAGAGUGACGAGGAGGACUCUGAUAAGAAUGUGAUUAAAACCCGAGAAGAGGAGUUAGAACAGGAGCAGAAGAAAUUGGACGAGGAGAUGGAGAAGAGGAGGAGGAGAGUCCAGGAAUGGCAAGAGCUAAGGAGGAAGAAGGAAGAAACUGAGAGGGAAAAGCAUGGGGAAGAAGCUGAUGUUAAUGAACCCAAGACUGGUAAAACCUGGACUCUUGAAGGAGAAUCCGACGAUGAAGAAGCACCUCCCACCGGAAAAUCUGAGACGGAUAUGGACCUGGAGGAAAAUGCAAAACCUGAUGAAGAAGUUGAAGAUGCAAUGGUAGUGGACACUGAGAAUGACAUCUCUGCUCCACAAAAUGAGGAUGAUGCCGUUAAUGGGGAUGAGGAAAUUGAUCCACUUGAUGCUUUUAUGAAUUCUAUGGUGUUACCUGAGGUUGAGAAGCUAAACAGUACUCUGGUUACUCAUACUGCUGAUGACAAUAAAACAGACUUGAAGAAUAAGGAUAAGAAGGAAGAGCGAAUCAAUGGAGAACAGAGGAAGAAAGGCUCUCACAAAUCUCUAGGGAGAAUUGUUCCAGGGGAAGAUUCUGAUUCAGACUAUGGGGAUCUUGAAAAUGGUGAAGAUCCUCUAGAAGAGGAGGAUGAUGACGAGUUCAUGAAGAGGGUGAAGAAAACAAAAGCUGAGAAACUGUCCAUUGUUGACCACUCAAAGAUUGAUUACAAUCCUUUCCGGAAGAAUUUCUAUAUUGAAGUGAAGGAGAUCUCGAGGAUGACUCCUGAGGAGGUUGUUGCGUGUAGGAAAGAACUGGAGUUAAAAUUACAUGGAAAGGAUGUGCCAAAACCAAUUAAAACCUGGCACCAGACAGGACUCACAAGUAAAAUUCUAGAGACGAUAAAGAAACUUAAUUAUGAGAAGCCAAUGACAAUUCAAGCUCAGGCCCUGCCUAUAAUCAUGAGUGGCCGGGACUGCAUAGGCAUUGCAAAAACUGGUUCAGGCAAAACCCUUGCGUUUGUGCUGCCAAUGCUGAGGCAUAUCAAGGACCAGCCUCCUGUGGAAGCUGGAGAAGGACCGAUUGGGCUUGUAAUGGCACCCACAAGGGAGCUUGUGCAGCAGAUCCACAGCGAUAUAAAGAAGUUUGCUAAGGCCCUGAGUAUCAGAUGUGUGCCUGUUUAUGGAGGUUCUGGUGUUGCCCAACAAAUUAGUGAAUUAAAGCGGGGGACAGAGAUAGUUGUCUGUACUCCAGGCAGAAUGAUUGACAUACUGUGCACCAGUGGAGGAAAAAUCACUAAUCUUCGCAGAGUUACAUAUCUGGUUAUGGAUGAAGCUGAUCGGAUGUUUGACAUGGGGUUUGAACCUCAAAUCACUAGAAUUGUCCAGAAUAUUCGCCCAGAUCGUCAAACUGUACUCUUUUCUGCCACUUUCCCUCGACAGGUUGAAACUUUGGCUCGUAAAGUACUGAACAAACCUGUGGAAAUACAGGUCGGUGGGAGGAGUGUGGUGAAUAAGGACAUCACUCAGCUGGUUGAAUUAAGAACAGAAGAUCAAAGGUGGCUUAGGCUUUUAGAACUACUUGGUGAAUGGUACCAGAAGGGAAAAAUUUUGAUAUUUGUCCAAUCACAGGACAAAUGUGAUUCAUUGUUUAGGAACUUACUGAAGUUUGGUUACCCUUGCCUCUCACUUCAUGGGGCUAAGGAUCAGACAGAUCGUGAAUCCACCAUUUCGGAUUUUAAGACCAAUGUCUGCAAUUUGAUGAUUGCAACAAGUGUUGCAGCCAGAGGUUUAGACGUGAAGGAUCUAGAAUUGGUAAUCAAUUAUGAUGCUCCAAACCACUAUGAGGAUUAUGUUCACCGUGUUGGUCGGACUGGCCGAGCUGGUCGCAAAGGCUGUGCCAUCACAUUUAUCUCCGAGGAUGAUGCAAGAUAUGCACCAGAUCUUGUAAAAGCGUUGGAACUCUCUGAGCAAGUUGUUCCACAAGAUUUGAAAGCUCUAGCUGAUGGUUUUAUGGCAAAAGUGAAUCAGGGUCUUGAGCAAGCCCAUGGAACAGGUUAUGGUGGAAGUGGUUUUAAAUUCAAUGAAGAGGAGGAUGAAAAGAGAAUGGCGGCAAAGAAAGCACAGGCAAAAGAAUAUGGCUAUGAGGAUGAGAAGUCUGAUUCAGAAGAUGAAGAUGAAGUUGUUCGGAAGUCAGUCGGUGACGUCUCACAGCAGACUGCCCUUGCUCAGCAGAUAGCUGCUCUUGCUGCUGUCUCAAAAGUCCCCAUGCCUGCACCACCAAUUUCUCACUCUGUUGCUCAAUUGCUUUCUAAUGGUGGAUUACCUGUUCCUCCCAAUCCAGGUCCAGCUGUUGUUUCUGUUACUGGGCUGCCUUUUGUUCCAAAUAAUGAAGGGGCAGCCAGGGCAGCAGCACUUGCAGCUGCCAUGAAUUUGCAACACAACCUGGCAAGGAUCCAAGCUGAUGCAAUGCCUGAACAUUAUGAAGCAGAGCUGGAAAUCAAUGAUUUUCCCCAAAAUGCUCGGUGGAAGGUUACCCACAAGGAAACAUUGGGCCCAAUUUCAGAUUGGACUGGGGCUGCCAUUACUACCAGGGGGCAGUUUUUUCCACCAGGCAAGGUGCCGGGACCAGGAGAGCGCAAGCUCUACUUGUUCAUUGAGGGUCCUACUGAACAGUCUGUCAAGAGAGCUAAAGCUGACCUAAAACGUGUUUUGGAAGACAUCACGAACCAGACAUACCAACUUCCUGGUGGAACUCAACCAGGAAAAUACUCGGUUGUAUGAGUGUAAGUUCAACUAAAACUUUCCUUAUUUCAGUUUGGAACUUGACUACACAAUGAUGUUUGAUUUUUUGAUUCUUUUUUGCAUAUAUCUUUAUAAUUUAUCGUUUUUUUGUUAAUUUUAGUUCCCUUUUCUUCUUGCUCGUGGAGUUGGGACUUGUAGGCAAUGCUUGAAUGGUGUUUAUUUUAGUUUGAAAAUUGCACAGUUAAUGUUUUUUCCUCUUGAAAAUAUGGAUGAUUUUGGUGCGUGGAAGUCGGAAGGAUUAGAUACUUGGUUCACGGGGUUUCCCAAGAACAUAACAAUGCCCUUGUAGAGGAUGAUGAGCCUAAAGCAAUCAGUCGUUUCCUUUUUUUGUUUAAUUUCUGUCUCUCCUCUCCUGCUAUUUUUGUAUCAUGUAGCUUCUCAAGAUAUCCAUAAGCUGUUAAAUUUGUUGUCCAUUUCCAUGUCUCCUUUUCCCUUUUAAUUCGUGUUCUUUCUUUCUUUUUGUUUUUUUCCUCUUUUGUUUCAUUUCCCCGUGGCUCGAGGGACGCUUUAAGCCUAUGCUGGCAUGUCCAAUGUAUCCUCUGCCUACAUUUCCUUUGUCUAUGAUGGCUGUUGAAGAGAUGGCGAUCUGGUGCGAUGCUUCUGCUUUCUAGUUCCUAUAGUUCUGAGUAGAAGAACUCCAAAAGUCACAUCUCGGAGAGGCUUGCUACUCCAAAUGAAGAAAGCAUAAACCAGAAUAGAAGGAUGGCAACAAGUUUAUUGUUGGUGUCCUGGAAUUCUUUUUUGACCCCUGGUUCUGCCUGGAUUGGGUUAUCGGCUACUCUGAUUGUGCAACUAGAAUGGAUGUGAAACAGCUUAAUUGUUUAGCUCGAUUAGUAACGAUUAUUAAUAGAAAACAGUUCCAUUUACACAACAAUUUCUAUCAUGAGAAAGAAUCUGUUCUGCGAAUUCACAUUUUAAA